rnacentral:rRNA from 1 species
GUGUGAGGUAACGGCCCACCAAGGCGACGAUCAGUAGCCGGACUGAGAGGUUGGCCGGCCACAUUGGGACUGAGAUACGGCCCAGACUCCUACGGAAGGCAGCAG